CCCCUAGUAACGGCGAGUGAAGAGGGAAAAGCUCAAAUUUUGAAUCCGGUGUCUUUGGCAUCUGAGUUGUAAUCUAGAGAAGUGUUUUCUGCCUUGGACCACACAUAAAUUCCCUGGAAUGGGGUGUCAUAGAGGGUGAGAAUCCCGUUUGUGGUGUGGACUACCUUGGCUCUGUGAUACACUCUCAACGAGUCGAGUUGUUUGGGAAUGCAGCUCAAAAUGGGUGGUAAAUUCCAUCUAAAGCUAAAUACUGGCGAGAGACCGAUAGCGAACAAGUACCGUGAGGGAAAGAUGAAAAGCACUUUGGAAAGAGAGUGAAACAGUACGUGAAAUUGUUGAAAGGGAAGCGUUUGAAGUCAGUCACAUUGGUCGGAAUUCAGCCUGGCUUCUGCCUGGUUUACUUUCUGGCAAAUGGGUCAGCAUCAAUUUCGAUUGAGGGAGAAAGACUUGAGGAAUGUGGCUGUCUUCGGGCAGUGUUAUAGCCUCUUGUUGUAUGUCUCGAUUGGGAUUGAGGAAUGCAGCACACCUUAUGGCCGGGGUUCGCCCUCGGUAUGUGCUUAGGAUGUGGCAUAA
rnacentral:rRNA from 1 species